GGGACACUGAAAACCUCGCGACAUCUGAAAGCACGAGAACAGAUGAUAGUUAUUGAUUGCAAGCCACGCGCGCGUUAUCCACGCUUCAUUGUAUUGGUGACAUUAUAAGAUUUACUAAUAUUGAACGGAUGCAAGAUAUGAUAGUUUUAGGAGCUCCAGGGAGAAGCAUUAAUCCACAAAUAUCACACAGAUUGGAAUGUCGCACGGAGCAUGUCAUUAGCCUGUUUUAAUGUUUAAAGGAAUUAUUGUCGUUUAAAGAAUUGGUAUACAACUUUACACUUCAUACCACCCACACUAAUGUAGGACUUAUACUUCAGAUGGUGCGUUCUUGAACACGCCUGAUUCACUCGGUCAUUACUGGGGUUUCUCUUGAUGAUCUGCGCUCUACACAGCCAUCGAGUACACAGUUUUCAGCACGAGUCAAUGUGGAUUCAGUUAAAGUCUAUGAAGAGGUUACAUUCAACACUGCAUGAUGAAAGGUAGUUCCUCGUAUUGAUAACGGAUAAAGGACUUAACGCUAUCUUGCCUACAGAAGGUUUGUGAGAUGGAUCUUUCAUAUUGCCGAAGAAGAUGCGGAAAGUUCUCCCAGCUUGUGUUGUCACCAGUAUAAAGAAAAAAAAAUCAAUCUGAGACAUACCGUGGUUUCAAAUACCCUACAGUGUUCAGUAUCAGUUGUGAAUUUUACUUAGGAUUUAUUUAUGAUAUAUAUCUAUUACUGAAUAGGUUUUCGAAGCCAUUAAAAUAAAUAUCAGCAAAUAUAUUUUUUUCUGUAAUUUCUCAUAUCAACGUUUCUUUUUUAAAGGGCAAAAGUAAACAAGAGGGUCAUGAUGGUCCUAGAUCGCUCACCGUAGUUAUGCAUUUUCUACUGAAUACAUACAGGCAGGCAGUUUCUA
rnacentral:lncRNA from 1 species